CACGUAGGGCGCAAGCGUUGUCCGGAAUUAUUGGGCGUAAAGAGCUCGUAGGCGGUCUGUUGCGUCCGCUGUGAAAACUCGGGGCUUAACCCCGAGCCUGCAGUGGAUACGGGCAGACUAGAGGUAGGUAGGGGAGAAUGGAAUUCCCGGUGUAGUGGUGGAAUGCGUAGAUAUCGGGAGGAACACCAGUGGCGAAGGCGGUUGCCUGGGGCUUUGCUGACGCUGAUGCGCGAAAGCGUGGGGAGCGAGUCCGG
rnacentral:rRNA from 1 species